UUUGUCAAAGAGUGUAUCAACUAUAUGAUAUAUACAGAGGACAGGCGACUAUUUGAGAAAGACAUAAUUAUCUUAAUCAGGUAGUAAAUCCAAUUGUAGCUGCUACUCCAGAUAGGAUCUCUUUAACGGAACAAAUCCACAGAGCCCCUGGCUUCUAGGACACAGCUAUUCAUUUGAGUCUGUCUCCUUCUCUACCAGUUAGCAAGGAAGACAGUGCACCAUCACUGUCUUGUUUCAAGUCUCUAGGAACUCUCCUGCUCCCUGCAUUAUCUGGUCUACAAGGAUUUGACUGUUUCCAUAUAUUCCAGGACAUCAUACUGGUCCACAACACUGUGUCAUCAAGCUGAUACAUCUGGUGAUUGGGAAACAGCAAAUACUAUGCAUGCCUUGGACAUAAUGCUUCACCACAAACAAGUUGACAGUUGAUUGUAUUCAAUGGCUUCCAUUUAUCUUCAUCUCCGAAUUAUCAAAAGUUUGAAUUACUACUCUUUAUCUUAAGUUCAAAUUGAUUGGCGAAGCACAAAAUAUGACCCGAUGGCAUUAAAUUCAACUGAGAAACUGUUGGUUUUUUUUCUUUUUGGUGGAGGAAAAGAGGAUUGGCAAAAAACUGGCUACUUCAUCAAUGUGUGAUGGACUUCACAGAGGUUUGGAAAGAUGUCACAUUCUAUGGUAAUCUGAUGUAUUUAAUAAAUAAACUCAUUUUUUUCUUUAAAAAAAAAGGAGUGAAGGCUUUAAGGUAAAUCUACAUUUUUCUUCUGUAGAAAACCACAUAGAACAAGAGAGAAAACAACAAAUCAAUAAUGACAAAGAUACCGGUUACCUCUAAACCUUCCUGGGUAAUUUCUGACUUUCUUUACUUCUCCCACUGUCAAGCCUUAUAAUGUUUUAAUCCUGCUAGUGGGAAUCUCUGAUUUGGUGAGACUCUUUCAUUCUUAAGAGAAUAAAUAUAUAUGUAUAAACUUA